CCCCUCAGCCUGUACUCCUCAGGGAGGCGGAGGGCGGGCCUAUCGUGCCCGCGGCAACUCCGCCCUCCGGGCUCUCGGGGGCGUGGCCAGAGGGAAAGUUUUGUGGGCCUGAAGAAGGUGGGGCUUGAGGAGGAGUCUGAGGGCGUGUGAGGGGCGGGGUUUAAGUGGACGCAGCAAGCAGCUUUGCGUCUUGACGUCACGAAGACCUUAUAUACUCGACUCAGCCGCCAUCUCAGCCUUUCGGAGCUGUGCGGCAUUCUGAGCAGGAAUGGCAGUGUGGACCUCUGUGAUGGGACAUCUUGUGGGAUCUCACAGCCAGUUCUGUGGCAAAGGAGGAUGAAGGCUUACGAGGACUCGUCAGGAAGCUGGAUAACAGAGCGAGCGCAAUGUGCUAGAAUAGAAGACCAGAAAAUGAAAUGGUGGAGUUUGAGGCUGGAUAGACAGUUUGAAAGGUAUUAAUGGGUCACCUCAAGUGAAGGCACUGCAAACACAAUGAUUGGUCAUUCUGAAUUUCCGGUCCUUCAUUCUGAAUUUCAAAGGCUCCUGUGACAAGUGGACAUGCAGUGACUGCACCUUUGUUUCUGAGGUGCCUGGAUGGAGGCUCAAAUAGAAGAUGGUGUCAGAUAUAUUGUGUUAAAAUUUUACCAUUAAAGUGUAUUAUAACAUGAA
rnacentral:lncRNA from 1 species